AUGACAGACAACGGAAUAUUCUCAAAACAUCUCCAUAUCGUAAUUCUAAUUCCAGAGAAUCCUGUCUAAUAGGCAGAAGUAGUAGCAAUGUAUCUUGAAUAAGCUAGUUCCUAACAUGGCAGCAUAUACCUUCCAUGCUUUGGAAAUAGAGGGGUAGACUCGUCUCUUCUCCCAGGGUUCUCAUAACCCAGAGGCAGAACUGCUACAGCUGCUGAGAGUGACUGUGUGGGAAGCAACUUGCUGAUUUCCUGACUUGCUGAAGUGUCAAGCUGAGGUCAAUACGAAACUAUAAUUUGGACAUAAAGGAUCUCCUUAAGUUUUAUUGAAGACAUGAAAACUGAGAAGUUCCCAGCCAGUCUCUUUCUCCAGGCGAGUUCAUAAGAGAAGAGCUGUGAGAGGCACCUCAAUGACUUCCAUUUGAAGGGAAAGAAGAAGCUUGACGGCUCCCUUGGUUCUCGGGACUGAUGAGGAAGGGUCCUCCCACUGUCCUAGUACUUUUAAUAAGUACUUCCUGGAGCACAGCCCUUUCCCUUUCCUCUCCUGCUCUUUCUUGUAGGCAAUGUGAGGAGGGUGAGAAGAAACUAAAGCACUGAACCCUGUGGCCGAAACACACAACUCUAUAAACCGAAACCAAGAUCAGAAACCAGACUAAGCUUGAGGAAGGCAACCUUGAUACCUAGAAUUUUGUUUCUCUGAGCUUUAUUUGUAAAUGGGAAGAAUAAUAAAUUUAAAGCC